rnacentral:rRNA from 1 species
GACGAACGCUGGCGGCGUGCUUAACACAUGCAAGUCGAACGGAGAGGCCUUUUCGGAGGUACUCGAGUGGCGAACGGGUGAGUAACACGUGGGUGAUCUGCCCUGCACUCUGGGAUAAGCCUGGGAAACUGGGUCUAAUACCGGAUAGGACCGCACUUUAGUGUGUGUGGUGGAAAGUUUUUUCGGUGUAGGAUGAGCCCGCGGCCUAUCAGCUUGUUGGUGGGGUAAUGGCCUACCAAGGCGGCGACGGGUAGCCGGACUGAGAGGUUGGUCGGCCACAUUGGGACUGAGAUACGGCCCAGACUCCUACGGGAGGCAGCAGUGGGGAAUAUUGCACAAUGGGCGCAAGCCUGAUGCAGCGACGCCGCGUGGGGGAUGACGGCCUUCGGGUUGUAAACUCCUUUCGCCAGGGACGAAGCGUUUUGUGACGGUACCUGGAGAAGAAGCACCGGCUAACUACGUG